CAAGCGACCCUCUCGGAGACGUCCUGUGGAACCUUCAGUGUCAUUUUUCUUUGAAAGUCCAAACAAAUUGUAAGUUGAAAAUCAUUCUGUCGAGUGAAAGGUGCAUCGUUGUAGGGUGCAUUGAAGAGUAUACGCGUAUAUUAUCAAAAAUUGCGGAACUCACGGAAAUCGAACGCAUGGUCAUGGCUAUCUCAACCAGAGCGUUGUUCUACUAGACAUUCCCACUACCGACUACUUUUAGAAACGACAGCGCUAAUAUUAGCGCGCGACGUCUGUCUUCGUGAAUAGCAAACACGACGCGAAAAAGAACCCAAGGACCAAAUGAGAAGGUAAACUCACUUUAAAAAUAGAAAAAGUAUCAAAGUAUGGGAAAGACUCGAGUCAGUCACAGAUAGCCGCACAGAUUCACCUACGUAGCGACGUGGUUGGACAAAGUAGUCGUAAUAUGUUACAGUUGUUAUGCGACUCGAGCCACAUCUAAGGAAAUGUUAGUACAGACCGCGGUGAUACUGGUUAUAUUGGAUUAUAUCGUACUCUAUUGAACUCGGCUGUGGUUUGUGGUGUAAACGUUUGAACGAGCACCUCAAGUAUUUACAUUGACACGUUUUUUUGUCUCGUGGUUAACAAGGCGAUGGCAUUGUACCCGACCGCUUAUUGAUAGUGUCAAUAGAGGAUUAUUAUGCCCAUGAUUAAUAACACUUCCCGAAAGUUAUGCCUUUGUGUUUAUAUUUGUGAAAUGUAGAUCAAUGUGCCGCACGUAACUUAAGUGUACUGAUUUAAAUCUAACUUUUAAGGUUUCAUACCCGGGAUGUUAUUUAAAAAAAAAUAUGAGAAUUAACUGCUUUUUCUCAUACAUUGAACCAUGAGAUUAUCAUCAAUGGUGCUCUAGUGCUUAAGCCUCAAUAUUACUCGAAUAAUAAUUUAUACGUAGUAUCAUGACUUGAUAGAACCAAUAUUUAGAAUUGCUAACACAAGUAAUGUUUAAAUAAAAAUGUAAAAUGAAUAUUAAGGUAAUGUCAAUAAAAA